rnacentral:lncRNA from 1 species
GCAAUUUAUAUUUAGGGAACAGCCUUCAGCCACUUUUCUUAGAGAGGGGCAGUGUAACCAUCAGACACUAGAAGGCUUCCUGGACUUCUCAGUAUACCAUGCAAUGGCAGCUUUUUGAAGAUCAGUAAUAUGAAGUCUGUCCUAAAGAACACUGAAGGUAUCGCUACUGGAAAACAAUGCCAUUCUCGUAUGGUCCACAAGGAAAAGAAGGAAGGAAUAUCUGCCGGGUGGCAGGGGAAGGCCAAAGCACAAGCCAUUUUAUUCCUGAUGGGCU